ACUCCUACGGGAGGCAGCAGUGGGGAAUUUUGGACAAUGGGCGAAAGCCUGAUCCAGCCAUGCCGCGUGCAGGAUGAAGGCCUUCGGGUUGUAAACUGCUUUUGUACGGAACGAAAAGACUCUGGUUAAUACCUGGGGUCCAUGACGGUACCGUAAGAAUAAGCACCGGCUAACUACGUGCCAGCAGCCGCGGUAAUACGUAGGGUGCAGGCGUUAAUCGGAAUUACUGGGCGUAAAGCGUGCGCAGGCGGUUGUAUAAGACAGAUGUGAAAUCCCCGGGCUCAACCUGGGAACUGCAUUUGUGACUGUAUAGCUAGAGUACGGCAGAGGGGGAUGGAAUUCCGCGUGUAGCAGUGAAAUGCGUAGAUAUGCGGAGGAACACCGAUGGCGAAGGCAAUCCCCUGGGCCUGUACUGACGCUCAUGCACGAAAGCGUGGGGAGCAAACAGGAUUAGAUACCCUGGUAGUCCACGCCCUAAACGAUGUCAACUGGUUGUUGGGUCUUCACUGACUCAGUAACGAAGCUAACGCGUGAAGUUGACCGCCUGGGGAGUACGGCCGCAAGGUUGAAACUUAAAGGAAUUGACGG
rnacentral:rRNA from 1 species